CGGAUAAAAGGUACUCCGGGGAUAACAGGCUGAUACCGCCCAAGAGUUCAUAUCGACGGCGGUGUUUGGCACCUCGAUGUCGGCUCAUCACAUCCUGGGGCUGAAGUCGGUCCCAAGGGUAUGGCUGUUCGCCAUUUAAAGUGGUACGCGAGCUGGGUUUAGAACGUCGUGAGACAGUUCGGUCCCUAUCUGCCGUGGGCGUUGGAAGAUUGAAGGGGGCUGCUCCUAGUACGAGAGGACCGGAGUGGACGAACCUCUGGUGUUCGGGUUGUGUCGCCAGACGCAUUGCCCGGUAGCUAAGUUCGGAAUUGAUAAGCGCUGAAAGCAUCUAAGCGCGAAGCGAGCCCUGAGAUGAGUCUUCCCUGACAGUUUAACUGUCCUAAAGGGUUGUUCGAGACUAGAACGUUGAUAGGCAGGGUGUGUAAGCGUUGUGAGGCGUUGAGCUAACCUGUACUAAUUGCCCGUGAGGCUUAACCAUACAACACCCAAGGGGUUUUGUA
rnacentral:rRNA from 1 species